ACAAAGAAAUAGGCCCAGGAACAAGACUACACGAUGUGGAAUGGGAGCCAUAUUUCUGCGUUUUACUUCAGGACGAACAAACCUUGACAGCCUAUAGGAGUGAAGAGCUUGCUCUUUUUCCUGGGACGAUUUUUGGGAUGAGAAAUCGUUUGAAGAUCGGCGAUGCCCUAUUCGUGGAACUACCCCGGGUACGGCUCGACGGGGGUGCCAAGGCCUUCAGACAGCGCUGGGGCUACGAGGGGGGGCAAUGCCCCUGCUGCGCCCCCCCUAAUGGAGGAGGAUGAAGGCAAUGAGGAGGCAGAGGAGGAGGGGGAGACCGUGUCGCUCAGGGAGGAGGUUUUUCUGCCGUCGUCGC
rnacentral:lncRNA from 1 species